GUGAAAUUGGGUUGGGUCAUCUCUGGUGUCAAUGGGUCUUGCUUAAAUGGCAGCAAAAAAGCCUUAGUUUUGUUCCUGGGGUAGGGUCCUACUGUAGCUCCAGCCCAGAGAAGCUACCCAGCAUCAUCUGCUUUGGGAAGGUGUGGGCAAGGACUUUCUCUUUGGAUUAGUUUGUGGGGUUUCUACUCUGCCUCAUUUCACUGAUCAUAUUUGGUGCUCCCUGGUGGGUGGCUGCAGAUUUUUCUGAGCCCAAGACUGGGGUAGCAUUUUCCCAAUCAGCCUGAAAAUACUGUGCAGUGCCUGGAGCACAAAGGUGUAAGAAUGCUGUAGAGCCCAAGAAGUGCCAAUUUAGCAGGGAGUGCUUAUACCUUCUCUGUGGAAGAGGCCAAAAAACUUGUCUCAGGUUGACUGAGGAUAUAUUUAAUACAUGAUCUUCCGAAGUUAAGUCUUCUUGCCUUCCCUCCUAAAGAAACUGGCCUCCCUGAAAAAACGUUCAAGUCAACUGAACUCCAGGAAAAAAAAGGGUUUCCUUUGGGAAUAACCACUUGUUCUCUUAGCCAAGAGUGACCUGCUGAUGCUUGGUCUCAGAUGGAGAGGGAAAGUCAUUUGUGCACUCUGAUGGGAUGCAGAGAAAGCCAGCUGCCUUGUUCUUGUUCAGGAGAAGGAUUCAUCCUUGGAGAUAACACCACCUUGAAACCAUUAUAG
rnacentral:lncRNA from 1 species